rnacentral:rRNA from 1 species
UACGUAGGGAGCAAGCGUUGUCCGGAAUCAUUGGGCGUAAAGCGCGCGUAGGUGGCUUCGUAAGUCCGUUGUGAAAGUCAAAGGCUCAACCUUUGAAAGCCGAUGGAUACUGUGAAGCUAGAGUACGGAAGAGGCGAGUGGAAUUCCUGGUGUAGCGGUGGAAUGCGCAGAUAUCAGGAGGAACACCAGUGGCGAAGGCGGUGCUCUGGGCCGGAACUGACGCUGAGGAGCGAAAGCGUGGGGAGCAAACAGG